GUCUAUGGCCAUGCCACCCUGAACAAGCCCGAUCCCGUCUGAUCUUGGAAGCUAAGCAGGGUCGGGCUUGGUUACUACUUGGAUGGGAGACCACCUAGGAAGCCUAGGCACUGUAGGCU
rnacentral:rRNA from 1 species